rnacentral:rRNA from 1 species
AUGAAGCUUCCUGCUUGCAGGAAGUGGAUUAGUGGCGAACGGGUGAGUAUCACGUGAGCAACCUGCCCUUGACUCUGGGAUAAGCCUGGGAAACUGGGUCUAAUACCGGAUACGACCAGUCACCGCAUGGUGUGCUGGUGGAAAGCUUUUGCGGUCUUGGAUGGGCUCGCGGCCUAUCAGCUAGACGGUGGGGUAGUGGCCCACCGUGGCGAUGACGGGUAGCCGGCCUGAGAGGGUGACCGGCCACACUGGGACUGAGACACGGCCCAGACUCCUACGGGAGGCAGCAGUGGGGAAUAUUGCACAAUGGGCGAAAGCCUGAUGCAGCGACGCCGCGUGCGGGAUGACGGCCUUCGGGUUGUAAACCGCUUUCAGCAGGGAAGAAGCGCAAGUGACGGUACCUGCAGAAGAAGCGCCGGCUAACUACGUGCCAC